CCUACGGGUGGCAGCAGUGAGGAAUAUUGGUCAAUGGACGAGAGUCUGAACCAGCCAAGUAGCGUGAAGGAUGACUGCCCUAUGGGUUGUAAACUUCUUUUGUCUGGGAAUAAAAUGUUCCACGUGUGGGAUUUUGUAUGUACCAUAUGAAUAAGCAUCGGCUAACUCCGUGCCAGCAGCCGCGGUAAUACGGAGGAUCCGAGCGUUAUCCGGAUUUAUUGGGUUUAAAGGGAGCGUAGGUGGAUUGGUAAGGCAGGUGUGAAAGUUUGGGGCUCAACCGUAAAAUUGCAGUUGAAACUGGCAGUCUGGAGUACAGGAGAGGUGGGCGGAAUGCGUGGUGUAGCGGUGAAAUGCUUAGAUAUCACGAAGAACUCCGAUUGCGAAGGCAGUUCACUGGACUGCAACUGACACUGAGGCUCGAAAGUGUGGGUAUCAAACAGGAUUAGAUACCCGAGUAGUC
rnacentral:rRNA from 1 species